GCCAGUGUAGUGUAGUGGUUUGCACAUUGGAUUAUGAUUCUGGAGAUCACGAUUCGAUUCCCAGCUCAGCCA